UGCAAAUCGAACGCCCCGCAAGGAGGAGUGGCAGACGGGUGAGUAACGCGUGGGAACAUACCCUUUCCUGCGGAAUAGCUCCGGGAAACUGGAAUUAAUACCGCAUACGCCCUACGGGGGAAAGAUUUAUCGGGGAAGGAUUGGCCCGCGUUGGAUUAGCUAGUUGGUGGGGUAAAGGCCUACCAAGGCGACGAUCCAUAGCUGGUCUGAGAGGAUGAUCAGCCACAUUGGGACUGAGACACGGCCCAAACUCCUACGGGAGGCAGCAGUGGGGAAUAUUGGACAAUGGGCGCAAGCCUGAUCCAGCCAUGCCGCGUGAGUGAUGAAGGCCUUAGGGUUGUAAAGCUCUUUCACCGGAGAAGAUAAUGACGGUAUCCGGAGAAGAAGCCCCGGCUAACUUCGUGCCAGCAGCCGCGGUAAUACGAAGGGGGCUAGCGUUGUUCGGAAUUACUGGGCGUAAAGCGCACGUAGGCGGAUAUUUAAGUCAGGGGUGAAAUCCCAGAGCUCAACUCUGGAACUGCCUUUGAUACUGGGUAUCUUGAGUAUGGAAGAGGUAAGUGGAAUUCCGAGUGUAGAGGUGAAAUUCGUAGAUAUUCGGAGGAACACCAGUGGCGAAGGCGGCUUACUGGUCCAUUACUGACGCUGAGGUGCGAAAGCGUGGGGAGCAAACAGGAUUAGGAUACCCUAA
rnacentral:rRNA from 1 species